AGAGUUUGAUCAUGGCUCAGGAUUAACGCUGGCGGUGUGCCUAAUACAUGCAAGUCGAGCGCUCUGGACCCUGUUUACAAGAUAUUGUAGAUAGAGUCCAGAGAGCGGCAGACGGGUGAGUAAUACGUUGGUAUCUGCCUCGAAGUCAGGGAUAAGCCUUAAAAAUAGGGUCUAAUACCGGAUAGUCCCGUAAGGGUAAAGCAGCAAUGCGCUUUGAGAGGAACCUGCGUCCUAUCAGUUAGUUGGUGAGGUAAUGGCUCACCAAGACUAUGACGGGUAGCUGGUCUGAGAGGAUGAUCAGCCACAAUGGAACUGAGACACGGUCCAUACUCCUACGGGAGGCAGCAGUAAGGAUUUUUUCGCAGUGGGGGAAACCCUGACGAAGCAACACCGCGUGAGGGAUGAAGGCCUUUUGGUUGUAAACUUCUUUUUUGAGGGAAUAAAUAUGAAGGUACCUCAAGAAUAAGCAUCGGCUAACUACGUGCCAGCAGCCGCGGUAAGACGUAGGAUGCAAGCGUUAUCCGGAAUUAUUGGGCGUAAAGAGUCUGUAGGCGAAUUGUUAAGUAGGACGUUAAAGACCAGUGCCUAACACUGGGAAGGUGUCCUAAACUGGCAGAAUAGAGUAUGACAGAGGCAAGUAGAAUUCUGUGUGUAGGGGUAAUAUCCGUAGAUAUACAGAGGAAUACCAAAAGCGAACGCAGCUUGCUGGGUCAUUACUGACGCUCAAGGACGAAAGCGUGGGGAGCAAACAGGAUUAGAUACGCUGAUAGUCCACGCCCUAAACGAUGAUCACUCGAUGGUUGGAGGAGAUCCGACCCCCCUCGAGUGUCAGCUACGCGAUAAGUGAUCCCGCCUAGGUAGUACGAUCGCAGAUUAAACUCAAGAUAGACGGCACCGCACAGCGAUGGAUCAUCUGAUUCAUUCGACAGUAGCCGACUCUUCACAGAUCUUGACAU
rnacentral:rRNA from 1 species